AUGAACAUCACGCUCCUAACCCGUUGGCUUUGGCGCAUCGCCAAUGGGGACGGCGACCUCUGGCUCCACAUCAUCCAGAACAAAUACCUCUGUGGCCAGCCCCUUGCUUUCUGCCAGCGGUCCAGAGGCUCUCAGUUCUGUCAGUCCGUCAUCCACCUUAUGCCUGUGCUCCGCAUAGGGACCUCCAUCUCAGUUGGUUCUGGCAUGGACACCCUUUUCUGGUUUGAUAGGUGGGCUGGAGACUCCCCCUUCGCGGCCCGCUUCCCAGACUUAUUCUCCAUUGCAGUGGACCCUCGGGUCUCAGUUGAGAUGGCCCUUAUUGACUUAGGGCGUCUAGCGUUCUGGCGCCCCAUUGGCCCCUCGGAGAUAGCUUCAUGGCAUGUACUCUUAGACAUCAUCGCGCUCAAUGAACCAGACCUGACACCGCCGCUUGACCGCAUAUCUUGGCACCUAGAGGCCUCUGGUAGAUUUUCCAUGAAGUCCCUCUGGAGGCGGCCUGGUCUAUAA
rnacentral:rRNA from 1 species